GACUUGAUAGCUCAAUAGGCAGAGCGGCACUCCGUUAAAGUGCGGGUUAUAGGUUCGAGUCCUAUUCAAGUCGCAA
rnacentral:tRNA from 1 species